AUCAUGUAACAAUAGUUAUAAAUCAUUUCUUUUAACGAAUCAAAGUUUAAAAGCUCCUUUCCUCUUGUGGUCAUUCAAUUCAACCUUUCUUUUUUUCUUAAUGAUCUCGCUAUUCGUAGUUACCCUCCGCCAAUGGAAAAAGCUACAUUUUUCUUCAUCGGCGAUGGAUUGACAUCGAAAAUAUGGCCUUUCAGGACUAUUGCUCGAUUGGGAGACCUUGAGACUGCCUGGAUAACUGCAUUCACACAAGGGGAACUUGUUAAGUUUGAAUUCUUUGACGACUUUUGUUUCGUAGGCAUCCAUUAUGAUACGGUACCUUUCUUCGAGGCAGAACAAUGUGCAUCCUUCACCUCUACAUUUAACAUAUGCACGAUCGUCCUUCUUAGAUAGGAUUCUCUCGAGGCCUGCACCGCAGAAACAUGGGUAUUUCUCAAUCGAAACCAUGAUGCUCAGAUUAUUUGCUCUCUUAUCACAGAUUUAACUCGUUUAUGAAGCACUGUUAAAGCUAAAGUGCAACAAGAACAUUUCCCCCCUUUUUUUAAAGUGUUGGCCUUCACAUGAAUAAUCAUUUACAAACGCAUGAGUUUCUUUGAAGAAAAAUAGGUCUCAUUCAUACUUCGAGUAAAGAAUUAAAUAGAAUCACAUUCAAAUGUAAGACCCAUGCUUGUUCAAAUCAGUAACCCCUUUUCGGUACAUUGUUUGAUAUCUUUCCAGAAGGAGCCCGUCAUUCAUUAACUGCAUUGCUUCCCUCUGUAUGAUACUGCCUACACCAUAGGAUCUUAUCUUCCCAACAUGAUUUUACUUUUUAAUUUUUCUUCAAUAUUGAGUCAUGAUCAAUAUUGACUCACCGAUACUUUAUUCACAUUGUCAGGCAUCUUUCAUGGGAAUCAUUUACUGCAUCAUGCCGGUCGGUAGGUCUUUGAAGGCUCUUUUCAUUUCCCUUUAAUAUAGACUUAUGUUCAUCCCACUCCUUUAUUAGCAUUGUUAGAUAUCUUGCCAGAGCGUUCUUAUCAUUUACUGCAUCAUUUCCCUCACAUCCGGCAUUGAACUUUCAUUUCACAGACACGUGGAUCCAACAAAUAUAAUGCCAAUGCAGACUGAUGUUUUUGACACAUUUCUACACGGGACAAAACCAACAAUGAUUGAACACGAUACGCAGUCAUUUCUAUGUGAUCGGUAUGUACAGAUGGGAAACAGCGACAACAAUUGUGAACUAUGCAAUACAUCAACAUUAUAAAAACAAAUAUUAAAACUAUCGUAGAAUAAACUAACACAUAAAAGUUGACAGUUUUUUCUUUCGCUCGUCAAACAAAAUACAUAAACGAAUAAGACAAUACCAUUGAUUCCUAACGAUGAUGGUGAUAACUGUAAAGACCAAGACGAUAGCUGCGAUUGUAACGGUUUUGAUGCUGGUGAUGAGGGUGGUGGUAAUAAUGGUGAUAACGGCAACAGAGGUGAUAACUUUGACGUUGAGAAUGGUAUCGCUGAUUGUGGAGAAGUUGAUGACGAAGUUGCGACAACAGCAAAGAUGUAGACGAUAAUAACAGUGACUGUGAUGGGAUUGAAAUGGAAGUUGACAUGUUAAAAAUCACCAAGGGAUGGACGUAAAACUUUAAGGGGACGACGGAACGUGAGAUGAUUUACGUAGGGUGGACAUAACCAACGACGAUGGAAGAAGAGAAAAACUGACGGACGACUGGGGUAAACGAUUUCUUGUGGCUGAAGAAAAGUGGUGUCACAGACGAAAAUGAGUUCACAGGCAUCAAAUAUAAAUCUUUUUUUCUGGUUUGACACAGAUCAUAUAGCACAUUUAACAGGACAUGCAGGGUUUUUGCGUAAAUCAAUGUACAUAAGUCUGGUACGCACGAAUAACAUCGAGUUCAUUAGCAGCUUUAAUAUUGUUUUGUCUGAACGACAAAA